AUGACGACCUCGUCCGGCUGGCCGGUGCUCAAGUCCUGGCGCGGCGGUCGAUUUUCUCUCCGCGAGGCUGCUCUGGCCCGCGUUGGCGUCGGCGUGUUCUGCGAGCGCCACGGGCACGAAGCCAGGGGGCCGCGGCACAUGUGCAGGACAGGCGCGCGCGAGGGCGCGGCUGAGCGCGGGAACGCGGCACGGCCGAGCAGCGGCCACGGGCAGGAGGGCGCGCAGACGGGCGGUCGGGCACGGGGGCGCGUCGCAGCGCGGAGGCCCUGGUCUGGGGCAUGGCGUGGAGGGCGCGAGUCCGGCAGCGCGGCAGUGUGGCGGCCGAGCGGACGGGCGCGUUUGCGCGCGGGCGCGGCUGUGGAGGCCGGGGAGCAGCGCCGACGCGGCCAGGAACGGCCACGGCAUGGGCGGGCGCGGCCACGGCUGGCGACUGAGGGUGCGAGGCGCGAAGUGUUGAGGCUGCCGCUUGGAAGCGCUUGCGCCGGGCUGAUGGCCGCCGCGGUAGCGGGCGCCACCACGCCGAACCGAGGGCUGCGGUCGUUGAACUCGCGAGCGAGCGAGGUCGUAGCAGGCGCCGAUAGAAUCGCCCCGCCGGGAGCAUGCUGA
rnacentral:rRNA from 1 species